rnacentral:rRNA from 1 species
AACGAACGCUGGCGGCAGGCCUAACACAUGCAAGUCGAGCGGGUCCUUCGGGACUAGCGGCGGACGGGUUAGUAACGCGUGGGAACGUGCCCAAAGGUACGGAAUAGCCUCGGGAAACUGAGAGUAAUACCGUAUGUGCCCCUCGGGGGAAAGAUUUAUCGCCUUUGGAUCGGCCCGCGUUGGAUUAGGUAGUUGGUGGGGUUAUGGCCUACCAAGCCGACGAUCCAUAGCUGGUUUGAGAGGAUGAUCAGCAACACUGGGACUGAGACACGGCCCAGACUCCUACGGAAGGCAGCAGUGGGGAAUCUUAGACAAGGGGGGAAACCUUGAUCUAGCCAUGCCGCGUGAGCGAUGAAGGCCUUAGGGUUGUAAAGCUCUUUCAGCUGGGAAGAUAAUGACGGUACCAGCAGAAGAAGCCCCGGCUGACUCCGUGCCAGCAGCCGCCGUAACAC